rfam:Oryza glaberrima chromosome 10 Oglab10_0042_9, whole genome shotgun sequence.
AAUAAGCGCGACCAUAAGUUUCCGUAUCCAUUUUUUAUAAUUAGUAUUUUUAUUGUUAUUAUAUUAUAAAACAUGAAUAGUAUUUUAUGUGUGACUUAUAUUUUUUUAGUUUUUUGAAAAAUGAAUUUAAAUAAGACGGACGAUUACAGUUGGAUACAGAAACUUAUGGCUGCACUUAUU